rnacentral:tRNA from 1 species
GGGGUUAUAGCUCAGUUGGUUAGAGCGCUACAUUCACAUUGUAGAGGUCCCCGGUUCGAACCCGUGUAACCCCACCA